CUAUAACAGAAACUCAUUUAUAACGGAAAAAUCAGUGAGUACAGAGCAAUUCGCUUACAAUAAGGUUUUACUGCACAUGUAUAAAAAGGUAUACAUGUUGAAAAACAAUGAAAGAAAUUGUUUUGGUCUGCAAGAGUUAAGGGAUUAUAUCAAACCUAUAAAUAUGUUAACCAGGGUUUGGGACUUUAAGCAUUUGCUUACUUUUUAGCUUAAUAUAAAAUGUAGCAGAAUGCUAU